AGUAUAAGCAAUUAUACCGUGAAACUGCGAAUGGCUCAUUAAAUCAGUUAUCGUUUAUUUGAUAAUACCUUACUACUUGGAUAACCGUGGUAAUUCUAGAGCUAAUACAUGCUGAAAAUCCCGACUUCGGAAGGGAUGUGUUUAUUAGAUAAAAAACCAAUGCCCUUCGGGGCUUUUUGGUGAUUCAUGAUAACUUUACGGAUCGCAUAGCCUUGCGCUGGCGACGGUUCAUUCAAAUUUCUGCCCUAUCAACUUUCGAUGGUAAGGUAUUGGCUUACCAUGGUUUCAACGGGUAACGGGGAAUUAGGGUUCGAUUCCGGAGAGGGAGCCUGAGAAACGGCUACCACAUCCAAGGAAGGCAGCAGGCGCGCAAAUUACCCAAUCCCGACACGGGGAGGUAGUGACAAUAAAUACUGAUACAGGGCUCUUUUGGGUCUUGUAAUUGGAAUGAGUACAAUUUAAACCUCUUAACGAGGAACAAUUGGAGGGCAAGUCUGGUGCCAGCAGCCGCGGUAAUUCCAGCUCCAAUAGCGUAUAUUAAAGUUGUUGCAGUUAAAAAGCUCGUAGUUGAAACUUGGGCCUGGCUGGCGGGUCCGCCUCACCGCGUGCACUCGUCCGGCCGGGCCUUCCUUCUGAAGAACCUCAUGCCCUUCACUGGGCGUGCUGGGGAAUCAGGACUUUUACUUUGAAAAAAUUAGAGUGUUCAAAGCAGGCCUUUGCUCGAAUACGUUAGCAUGGAAUAAUAAAAUAGGGCGUGCGUUUCUAUUUUGUUGGUUUCUAGAGACGCCGCAAUGAUUAACAGGAACAGUCGGGGGCAUCAGUAUUCAGUUGUCAGAGGUGAAAUUCUUGGAUUUACUGAAGACUAACUACUGCGAAAGCAUUUGCCAAGGAUGUUUUCAUUAAUCAGUGAACGAAAGUUAGGGGAUCGAAGACGAUCAGAUACCGUCGUAGUCUUAACCGUAAACUAUGCCGACUAGGGAUCGGGCGAUGUUCUUUUUCUGACUCGCUCGGCACCUUACGAGAAAUCAAAGUUUUUGGGUCUGGGGGGAUAUUCCCCG
rnacentral:rRNA from 1 species